rnacentral:rRNA from 1 species
AUUGAACGCUGGCGGAAUGCUUUACACAUGCAAGUCGAACGGCAGCACGGACUUCGGUCUGGUGGCAAGUGGCGAACGGGUGAGUAAUAUAUCGGAACGUGCCCAGUCGUGGGGGAUAACGUAGUGAAAAUUACGCUAAUACCGCAUACGAUCUAAGGAUGAAAGCGGGGGAUCGCAAGACCUCGCGCGAUUGGAGCGGCCGAUGUCAGAUUAGCUAGUUGGUAGGGUAAAGGCCUACCAAGGCGACGAUCUGUAGCGGGUCUGAGAGGAUGAUCCGCCACACUGGGACUGAGACACGGCCCAGACUCCUACGGGAGGCAGCAGUGGGGAAUUUUGGACAAUGGGGGAAACCCUGAUCCAGCCAUGCCGCGUGAGUGAAGAAGGCCUUCGGGUUGUAAAGCUCUUUCGGCUGGGAAGAAAUCGCACAGGCUAAUACUCUGUGUGGAUGACGGUACCAGCAUAAGAAGCACCGGCUAACUACGUG